rnacentral:rRNA from 1 species
CACGUAGGGUGCGAGCGUUGUCCGGAAUUAUUGGGCGUAAAGAGCUCGUAGGCGGUGUGUCGCGUCGGCCGUGAAAACCUGCAGCUUAACUGUGGGCUUGCGGUCGAUACGGGCAUCACUGGAGUUCGGCAGGGGAGACUGGAAUUCCUGGUGUAGCGGUGAAAUGCGCAGAUAUCAGGAGGAACACCGGUGGCGAAGGCGGGUCUCUGGGCCGAUACUGACGCUGAGGAGCGAAAGUGUGGGAGCGAACAGG